rnacentral:rRNA from 1 species
UACGAAGGGUGCUAGCGUUGUUCGGAAUCACUGGGCGUAAAGCGUGCGUAGGCGGCUUGACAAGCCAGAGGUGAAAGCCUGGAGCUUAACUCCAGAACUGCCUUUGGAACUGUCAGGCUAGAGUGUUGGAGGGGAUAGCGGAAUUUCUAAUGUAGCGGUGAAAUGCGUAGAUAUUAGAAGGAACACCGGCGGCGAAGGCGGCUAUCUGGACAACAACUGACGCUGAGGCACGAAAGCGUGGGGAUCAAAC